rnacentral:rRNA from 1 species
GUUUACCGAUGAUGUCCUCGAUCGGUGUCCGCCCUAUCAACCUGAUGGUAGUUUAUUAGACUACCAAGGUUAUAACGGGUAACGGAGAAUAAGGGUUCGACUCCGGAGAGGGAGCCUUAGAAACGGCUACCACAUCCAAGGAAGGCAGCAGGCGUGAAACUUAUCCACUGCAUAUAGUGAGAUAGUGACUAAACAUAAAAAGACCAUUCUUUUUAGAGUGGUUUUUUCAAUGAAUAGAGUUUAAAACACUCUAUGAGGAUCUAAUGGAGGGCAAGUCUGGUGCCAGCAGCCGCGGUAAUUCCAGCUCCAUUAAUAUAGAUCGUCAUUGCUGCGGUUAAAAAGCUCGUAGUUGGAUCUUA